rnacentral:rRNA from 1 species
UACGUAGGGAGCGAGCGUUGUCCGGAUUCAUUGGGCGUAAAGAGCUCGUAGGCGGCUUGAUAAGUCGGAUGUGAAACCUCCAGGCUCAACCUGGAGUCGCCAUCCGAUACUGUCAUGGCUAGAGUCCGGUAGGGGCCCACGGAAUUCCUGGUGUAGCGGUGAAAUGCGCAGAUAUCAGGAGGAACACCGGUGGCGAAGGCGGUUCUCUGGGCAUUACCUGACGCUGAGGAGCGAAAGUGUGGGGAGCGAACAGG